UUGACCUCAAAUCAGGUAGGACUACCCGCUGAACUUAAGCAUAUCAAUAAGCGGAGGAAAAGAAACUAACAAGGAUUCCCCUAGUAACUGCGAGUGAAGCGGGAAAAGCUCAAAUUUGAAAUCUGGCAGUCUUUGAUUGUCCGAGUUGUAAUCUAGAGAAGUUGUUACCUGUGCAGGACCGUGUACAAGUCUCCUGGAAUGGGGCAUCAUAGAGGGUGAGAAUCCCGUCUUUGACAUGGACUACCUGUAUGUUGUGGUGCGCUCUCAAAGAGUCGAGUUGUUUGGGAAUGCAGCUCAAAAUGGGUGGUAAAUGCCAUCUAAAGCUAAAUAUUGGCGAGAGACCGAUAGCGAACAAGUACCGUGAGGGAAAGAUGAAAAGCACUUUGGAAAGAGAGUUAAACAGUACGUGAAAUUGCUGAAAGGGAAACGCUUGAAGUCAGUCACAUUGGCCAGAAAUCAGCCUUGCUUUUGUGAGGUGUACUUUCUGUUUGAUGGGUCAGCAUCAAUUUUGAUCGCUGGAUAAAGUCUCUGGGAAUGUGGCAUCUUCGGAUGUGUUAUAGCCCAUUGUCGUAUGCAGUGGUUGGGAUUGAGGAACUCAGCACGCCGAAAGGCCGGGUUUCGACCAUGUUCGUGCUUAGGAUGCUGGCAUAAUGGCUUUAAUCGACCCGUC
rnacentral:rRNA from 2 species